CAGUCGCCGCGUUAAUACGUAGGGUGCGAGCGUUAAUCGGAAUUACUGGGCGUAAAGCGUGCGCAGGCGGUUAUUUAAGUGAGAUGUGAAAGCCCCGGGCUUAACCUGGGAACUGCAUCUUAUACUGGGUAACUGGAGUGCAGUAGAGGGUAGUGGAAUUUCCGGUGUAGCGGUGAAAUGCGUAGAGAUCUGGAGGAAUACCGGUGGCGAAGGCGGCCCCCUGGACAAAGACUGACGCUCAGGCGCGAAAGCGUGGGGAGCAAACAGGAUUAGAUACCCCUGUAGUCCCUGUCUCUUAUAC
rnacentral:rRNA from 1 species